CCUACGGGGUGCAGCAGUGAGGAAUAUUGGUCAAUGGACGAGAGUCUGAACCAGCCAAGUAGCGUGAAGGAUGACUGCCCUAUGGGUUGUAAACUUCUUUUAUAUGGGAAUAAAAUGUUCCACGUGUGGGAUUUUGUAUGUACCAUAUGAAUAAGGAUCGGCUAACUCCGUGCCAGCAGCCGCGGUAAUACGGAGGAUCCGAGCGUUAUCCGGAUUUAUUGGGUUUAAAGGGAGCGUAGGUGGAUUGUUAAGUCAGUUGUGAAAGUUUGCUGCUCAACCGUAAAAUUGCAGUUGAAACUGGCAGUCUUGAGUACAGUAGAGGUGGGCGGAAUUCGUGGUGUAGCGGUGAAAUGCUUAGAUAUCACGAAGAACUCCGAUUGCGAAGGCAGUUCACUGGACUGCAACUGACACUGAGGCUCGAAAGUGUGGGUAUCAAACAGGAUUAGAUACCCCAGUA
rnacentral:rRNA from 1 species